AACGUUGACGUGGCCGACGCGCUUUAAAGUGUGGUAUCUGUUCUCAUUACCUCAUUAUCUGACACGGGUUCUAUUUCGACACAAGAUAUUAAACUUAUUUUUGGAAAUUGGCGUAGUACAUGAAGCCUCCUUCACCUCCGCCACGAUUUGGCCCCGUAUUGCACUAUCCCCGGAAUUGCCCAACGCUU